UGCAUAGACCUGCAAUAUGACAACCACCCAUCCAUGAAGAAACGCUCCGCAGGAAGAUGGUUGAGGAGGAUGGGAGGAACACAAAAUGCAGGAUCUUACCACCAGAACCUCCGGUUAGCGUCCAGAUUCCUGUCUUGAGUUAAAGCAACAAAAGCACCAAGAAACAGUCACCAGCCCACGGACAAGCUCCACGCCGCUGCCCUCAGGGAUGUGUCAACA